GAUGAAGAACGUAGCGAAAUGCGAUAAGUAGUGUGAAUUGCAGAAUUCAGUGAAUCAUCGAAUCUUUGAACGCACAUUGCGCCCCAUGGUAUUCCGUGGGGCAUGCCUGUUCGAGCGUCAUUUACCCCCUCAAGCUCCGCUUGGUGUUGAGCGUCUGUCCCGCUUCGCGCGCGGACUCGCCCCAAAGGUAUUGGCAGCGGUCGUGCCAGCUUCUCGCGCAGCACAUUGCGCUUCUCGAGGCACCGGUGGGCCCGCGUCCAUCAAGCUCACCCCCCCAGUUUGACCUCGGAUCAGGUAGGGAUACCCGCUGAACUUAAGCAUAUCAAUAAGCGGAGGA
rnacentral:misc_RNA from 1 species